AUUGAACGCUGGCGGAAUGCUUUACACAUGCAAGUCGAACGGUAGAGGGGGCAACCCCUUGAGAGUGGCGAACGGGUGAGUAAUAUAUCGGAACGUGCCCAGUCGUGGGGAUAACGUAGCGAAAGUUACGCUAAUACCGCAUACGAUCUAAGGAUGAAAGCGGGGGAUCGCAAGACCUCGCGCGAUUGGAGCGGCCGAUAUCAGAUUAGGUAGUUGGUGAGGUAAAGGCUCACCAAGCCAACGAUCUGUAGCUGGUCUGAGAGGACGACCAGCCACACUGGAACCUGAGACACGGGUCCAGACUCCUACGGGAGGCAGCAGUGGGGAAUUUUGGACAAUGGACGCAAGUCUGAUCCAGCCAUUCCGCGUGCAGGAUGAAGGCCCUCGGGUUGUAAACUGCUUUUGUACGGAACGAAAGGGUUUCUAUUAAUACUAGGAGCUCAUGACGGUACCGUAA
rnacentral:rRNA from 1 species